GACGAACGCUGGCGGCGUGCCUAAUACAUGCAAGUAGGACGCAGUUGCGAACGGGUGAGUAACGCGUAGGUAACUGCCUAUUAGAGGGGGAUAACUAUUGGAAACGAUAGCUAAUACCGCCUACUAGUAGAUGGACCUGCGUUGUAUUAGCUAGUAGGUAGGGUAAUGGCCUAACUAGGCAACGAUACAUAGCCGAGCUUAGGAGGUGAUCGGCCACACUGGGACUGGAAAACGGGCCAGACACCUACGGGAGGCAGCAGUAGGGAAUCUUCGGCAAUGGGGGGAAACUUGACCGAGCAACGCCGCGUGAGGGAAGAAGGUUUUCGGAUCGUAAAGCUCUGUUGUUAAGGAAGCGGUACUUAACCAGAAAGGGACGGCUAACUACGUGCCAGCCGCCGCGGUAAUAC
rnacentral:rRNA from 1 species